AACGAACGCUGGCGGCAGGCCUAACACAUGCAAGUCGAGCGAGGACUUCGGUUCUAGCGGCGGACGGGUGCGUAACGCGUGGGAAUGUGCCCUUCUCUACGGAAUAGCCCUGGGAAACUGGGAGUAAUACCGUAUACGCCCUAUUGGGGAAAGAUUUAUCGGAGAAGGAUCAGCCCGCGUUGGAUUAGGUAGUUGGUGGGGUAAUGGCCUACCAAGCCGACGAUCCAUAGCUGGUCUGAGAGGAUGAUCAGCCACACUGGGACUGAGACACGGCCCAGACUCCUACGGGAGGCAGCAGUGGGGAAUCUUAGACAAUGGGGGCAACCCUGAUCUAGCCAUGCCGCGUGAGUGAUGAAGGCCUUAGGGUUGUAAAGCUCUUUCAGCUGGGAAGAUAAUGACGGUACCAGCAGAAGAAGCCCCGGCUAACUCCGUG
rnacentral:rRNA from 1 species